UACGUAGGUGGCGAGCGUUGUCCGGAUUUACUGGGCGUAAAGAGCGCGCAGGCGGUCGUGCAAGUCGCGUGUGAAAGCCCCCGGCUCAACUGGGGAGGGUCACGCGAUACUGCUCGACUCGAAGGCAGGAGAGGGAAGUGGAAUUCCCGGUGUAGUGGUGAAAUGCGUAGAUAUUGGGAGGAACACCAGUGGCGAAGGCGGCUCACUGGACCGGAACUGACGCUGAGGCGCGAAAGCGUGGGGAGCAAACAGG
rnacentral:rRNA from 1 species